AGUCCACUUAAGCCCUGCUUAGUGUUGGGAAUCUACUCAAGCGUAACUACCCUGUAGUUACCCUGUAGUUCCUUAAAGAUAGCGGCGGAGUUGUGAUAUCCUCUGAGCUUAGUAAUUAUUAUCUAGCUUUCGAGUACACCACUUCCCUUGCCGUUAAACACCCUUCUUCUGAAU
rnacentral:misc_RNA from 1 species